rnacentral:lncRNA from 1 species
UUCUUGGCUUCUUUUGGUUGCAGCCGUGCUGUGCUGGGGGGUCUGCUCCAGCCCCCAGUCACCUUAGACUCUCCAAAGCCUGAAGGUGACAGUGGCUAAAGCUGCAAAACAGAAAAGAUGAUGACCCUCCCUUCCCUUUGGGAGCUCCAUCCCAGUGUUAUGUUCUGGGCAUUCAUCUAUCCUCUCAUCAGCUUUUGAUCUACCACAUCUUGGUCUGUAUACAGCUGCACAAAAGAAGCUCCAUGCCAAAUAUGCUCAAAACAGCCUGUGCCAGAAUGAACAGACAAUGUCAUCACACAAAAUGAUCCUGUGGGUCAGUGUUCUUUUGUAACUUUAACAUUAAUCACUGUGUUCUAGAAAAAGAGAGAGAAGAAAAGGAAUGGUCAUUUUUUUCUGUCAUUUCUUAUUAAAAAUAACAUUUCCUCAGGAUUGUAACAAAAUUCUAGAAC